AAGUAAAGGAAAUAAUAUUGCAAAAAAAAUAUGAUACAAAUUAAGGAAAUAUACCAGUGUAGUAAUAGAGUUUACAAAAUUUAGUUUGUAAACUUUGUAACCAAAAAUCAAUGCGGUUAACUAUUUCCGAGAGCAAAUAGUUAUAUG